rnacentral:lncRNA from 10 species
AAUACACUUAGCUACCAGAGUAAGGCAAGUUCUAGGAUUGAGGAAUACAGGACUGAGGUUGACAAAGGAGCAGGAGGGAGUCUUGAAGGGACUUCUCCAAAAAGAUGCCCUGACCUUCCGGGAAACCCUCGGUGAGAGGCCCACAGCCUCGCUUCUAGGGUCACCACUGCUUCUUCCAGUCUAGCCAAACAGCUCCUAGUACAGCUCAGAGCACCCUGCAAGGAGGGCACGUGUUAAAUCGAGGAGCACACAUGCUCCACGAGGAAUUCUUUGCUUUGAGGCCAUGCACAGAGGUGGGUUCACUAUGAAGCUUGUGAAAUAAGCUUCAGGGCCCGCAUUUGCAUGGGCCACAGAGAGUCUGGGAGCUGCAGAAGGUUCAAGGGAAGAGGAGCCAUCACAAGCAGAAUAUUCUAGAAGGCAUUUCUGGCAAAUGGCCCAAAGAGGCCUCAGGAGAAAAGAACUUGAGUCUUCAAGGAUGCAAUGAGAAGGCACCAUCUGUGAGGAACAGGCCUCCGACAGACACCGAAUUUGCUGGCACUUUGAUCUUGGACUUCCCAGCCUCCAAAAUUAUCCAUAAUGGAUUCCUGGGACAUUUUCAGAUCUCCUUCCAGCUUCCUCUUCGCCCUUUCCAAGUCCGCCCGCAGUUUCUUCUCCUGCUCUAAGGAACCCUCAAGCUGAGAAGACACACAGAUGGAGUCUCGCUGCGAUGCCCAGGCUGGAGUGCAAUGGUGCAAUCUUGGCUCACUGCAACCUUCGUUUCCCAGGUUUAAGCAAUUCUCCUGCCUCAGCCUCCCAAGUAUCUGGGACUACAGGCGAGCGUCACCAUGCCUGGCUAAUUUUUGUAUUUUUAGUAGAGAUGUUUAGUAGAGAGUUUCACCAUAUUGGCCAGGCUGGUCUUGAACUCCUGACCUCAAGGGAUCCGCCCACCUUGGCCUCUCAAAGUGCUGGGAUUACAGGCGUGAGCCACCGUGCCUGGCAAUGUUUGUAGUUUCUUUCAUGAAUUUACCUCCUUUUAUUCUUUAAUCCCUGCUUAUCUCUAAAGAGUAAGUAACUGAAAGUAAUAAAACGGAAUUUUCUCAACAAUAUUUUAUAAGUUGAUUUCUUUUUCUUUCCUACAGGAAACAACCCAAUUUGCCAUCUUAAUUUGGAGUCUACUUUUUCUGAAUGACUCAGUUUUCUCUGAUACUUAAUCAAGAUGCAGCCUUGGGGGAAAAUGUCAUGUCCCAGUCUCCCCCAUGUUCCUUUCCCUUCAUCCCACUUUGUCCCCGGGGUCUAGCAUGACUGUGUGUUUGGAUUGGGGAAGUGAAGGCAGGAAAGUCGCUUCCCCAAAUCCGCAUCCACACAGGGUCUUAUGUUAGAGUUGAUGUUAUCUCUAGGCGAGGUUAUGCAAUGUAGUUACAGAGACAUUGUGAUUAGAUUCAAAGAAAAUGAUUUUCAUCAUUGAAGUUUACGCAUGUGCCCAUUUCCUAUUUAUUACAUUCCCUGGCCCAGAGGACAUUAGGCUUUCAUUUUUAAAAAAUGAUCUCAUUAUCUAAUGAAUAAUUAUAUUUCAUAUAUUUUAUUAAUUUAUUAAAUGUAUGCAUUUAAAAUGGCAUAUAAUGUUAAAACUCUAUGUUGGCUACUAUUUAAAAGUAUAUUUACUGGUAAUCU